rnacentral:rRNA from 1 species
ACUCCUACGGGAGGCAGCAGUGGGGAAUAUUGCACAAUGGGCGCAAGCCUGAUGCAGCAACGCCGCGUGAGGGAUGAAGGCCUUCGGGUUGUAAACCUCUUUUAGCAGGGAAGAAGCGAAAGUGACGGUACCUGCAGAAAAAGCACCGGCUAACUACGUGCCAGCAGCCGCGGUAAUACGUAGGGUGCAAGCGUUGUCCGGAAUUAUUGGGCGUAAAGAGCUCGUAGGCGGUUUGUCACGUCUGCUGUGAAAAUCCAAGGCUCAACCUUGGACUUGCAGUGGGUACGGGCAGGCUAGAGUGCGGUAGGGGAGAUGGGAAUUCCUGGUGUAGCGGUGGAAUGCGCAGAUAUCAGGAGGAACACCAAUGGCGAAGGCACAUCUCUGGGCCGUAACUGACGCUGAGGAGCGAAAGCGUGGGGAGCGAACAGGAUUAGAUACCCUGGUAGGUC